rnacentral:rRNA from 1 species
GGGUGCGAUCAUACCAUCACUAAUGCACCGGAUCCCAUCAGAACUCCGCAGUUAAACGUGCUUGGGCGAGAGUAGUACUAGGAUGGGUGACCUCCUGGGAAGUCCUCGUGUCGCACCCC